rnacentral:rRNA from 1 species
GACGAACGCUGGCGGCGCGCUUAACACAUGCAAGUCGAACGGAAAGGCCUGCUUUCCCUUGUGGAUUGCGGGUACUCGAGUGGCGAACGGGUGAGUAACACGUGAGUGAUCUGCCCCCAACUUGGGUAUAAGCCUGGGAAACUGGGUCUAAUUCCCGAUAGGACUGCAGGGUGGUGCCUGUGGUGGAAAACGAUUUUCUAGUGGUUGGGGAUGAGCUCGCGGCCUAUCAGCUUGUUGGUGGGGUAAUGGCCUACCAAGGCGGCGACGGGUAGCCGGCCUGAGAGGGUGGACGGCCACAUUGGGACUGAGAUACGGCCCAGACUCCUACGGGAGGCAGCAGUGGGGAAUAUUGCACAAUGGGCGGAAGCCUGAUGCAGCGACGCCGCGUGGGGGAUGACGGCCUUCGGGUGGUAAACUCCUUGCGACCGCGAGGAAGCCACCUGGUUGGAAGGGUGGUGACGGUAGUGGUAGAAGAAGCACCGGCUAACUACGUG